UGAUCAUUUUAAUAAGAAAUUUAACCUCCAAGUAUAAAAAAGUGCAGUUUGACUUGCAAAUAUCACUUGCUCCAUGAUGAGAAGUAUGAUUUAUGUAUACUGGAAAUGAAGAUAUGGGAAAGCAACCCUAAACUCGGCUACUAUGCACUGUCCAGAUGUGCAUUAUUGAUUUCCGAAGGUUGGUCGAACAAGACUUUUAAAAUUGAAAUCGGCAGCUCUGGUGAAACAAAAUCAUCUGUUGUUUGAAACAUUCAACGAUUCCAAUGGAAUUUCCUGUUGUUUGUUUGUAACCAAUAACCAUAAUACUUGAAAAAAAUUGAAAUAUGUAU